AUGCAAGUCGAGCGAACGGACGAGAAGCUUGCUUCUCUGAUGUUAGCGGCGGACGGGUGAGUAACACGUGGAUAACCUACCUAUAAGACUGGGAUAACUUCGGGAAACCGGAGCUAAUACCGGAUGAUAUUUUGAACCGCAUGGUUCAAAAGUGAAAGACGGUCUUGCUGUCACUUAUAGAUGGAUCCGCGCUGCAUUAGCUAGUUGGUAAGGUAACGGCUUACCAAGGCAACGAUGCAUAGCCGACCUGAGAGGGUGAUCGGCCACACUGGAACUGAGACACGGUCCAGACUCCUACGGGAGGCAGCAGUAGGGAAUCUUCCGCAAUGGGCGAAAGCCUGACGGAGCAACGCCGCGUGAGUGAUGAAGGUCUUCGGAUCGUAAAACUCUGUUAUUAGGGAAGAACAUAUGUGUAAGUAACUGUGCACAUCUUGACGGUACCUAAUCAGAAAGCCACGGCUAACUACGUGCCAGCAGCCGCGGUAAUACGUAGGUGGCAAGCGUUAUCCGGAAUUAUUGGGCGUAAAGCGCGCGUAGGCGGUUUUUUAAGUCUGAUGUGAAAGCCCACGGCUCAACCGUGGAGGGUCAUUGGAAACUGGAAAACUUGAGUGCAGAAGAGGAAAGUGGAAUUCCAUGUGUAGCGGUGAAAUGCGCAGAGAUAUGGAGGAACACCAGUAGCGAAGGCGGCUUUCUGGACUGCAACUGACACUGAGGCACGAAAGCGUGGGUAGCAAACAGGAUUAGAUACCCUGGUAGUCCACGCUGUAAACGAUGAGUACUAGGUGUCGGGGGUUACCCCCCUCGGUGCCCAGCUACGCAUUAAGUACU
rnacentral:rRNA from 1 species